rnacentral:rRNA from 1 species
UAAGACAUGCAAGUCGAACGGACUGUUCUAUAGAGUAAUCUAAGGGAUAGUUAGUGGCGAAAGGGUGAGUAACGGAUAGGUAACGUACCCCAUGCUUCGGGAUAGCGUCGCUUACCUUCGGGUAAGCUACCGAAAGGGGCGGUAAUACCGGAUAAUGUCGCAGAUUGAUAGAUUUGCGAUCAAAGAUUUAUCGGCAAGGGAGCGGCCUAUCUCCUAUCAGCUUGUUGGUGAGGUAAUGGCUCACCAAGGCAACGACGGGUAGCGGGACUGAGAGGUUGGCCCGCCACAUCGGGACUGAGACACUGCCCGGACCUCCACGGAGGGCUGCAGUAACGAAUCUUGCGCAAUGGGCGAAAGCCUGACGCAGCGACGCCGCGUGUGGGAAGAAGUCUUUCGGGAUGUAAACCACUGUCAGGGCAAAGAAAGUGUACUUCGGUGCAUUGAUCUAGCCCACAGGAAGUCACGGCUACUUCGUGCCAGCAGCCGCGGUAAGACGAAGGUGGCUAGCGUUGUUCGGUAUCACUGGGCUUAAAGCGUGUGUAGGCGGGAAAGUAAGCGUUUUGUGAAAUCCCUCGGCUUAACCGAGGAAUCGCUUGACGAACUGCUUUUCUUGAGGCAAGUAGGGGUGCAUGGAACUCUUGGUGGAGCGGUGGAAUGCGCAGAUAUCAAGAGGAACGCCGAUGGUGAAGACAAUGCACUGGGCUUGUACUGACGCUGAGACACGAAAGCGUGGGGAGCGAACGGGAUUAGAUACCCCGGUAGCCCACGCCGUAAACGAUGCCUACUAGGUUGUGGUGGUUCUGACACCAGCACGGCCGAAGCAAAAGUGUUAAGUAGGCCGCCUGGGGAGUACGGUCGCAAGGCUAAAACUCAAAGGAACUGACGGGGGCUCACACAAGCGGUGGAGCAUGUGGAUUAAUUCGAAUCAACGCGCAGAACCUUACCUGGGUUUGACAUGCUUGGAUGCUUGCUUGGAAACAGGUUAAGCUGCCCUUCGGGGUGAAACUUGCACAGGUGCUGCAUGGCUGUCGUCAGCUCGUGUCGUGAGAUGUCGGGUUAAGUCCUUUAACGAGCGAAACCCUUACCAUUAGUUGCCAGCGGGUCAUGCCGGGGACUCUAGUGGGACUGCCGGUGUUAAACCGGAGGAAGGUGGGGAUGACGUCAAGUCAUCAUGGCCUUUAUGCCCAGGGCUUCACACGUGCUACAAUGGCAAUCACAGAGCGACGCAAGACCGCGAGGUGGAGCAAAUCGCAAAAAGGUUGCCUCAGUUCGGAUUGCAGGCUGGCAACUCGCC